AACGUCAAGACUCAAGGAUAUUAAUCUCACUCUUAUCUUUUCUCAGUUGAAUUCCCACCAAAUCUCUGUGUCUCUAUUUCUCUCUGUAUGCCUGUUCAACUCUUCAUAUACAGAGAAGACCAAAAGAAGAAUCUUGAGAUAAUGACAGUCACGUUCUACAUCCUUCAACCCCUUUGCUUCAACCCAACUCCACCACUCCAAAUGCCGUCUCUGGAAAAUCCCUCUUUCUCAGAAUCUUUUUAGUAUUUGUUUUUCUUCCUUUUCCCUAAUCAGCAAGAAACAAUUUCUUUGCCAGCCAUGCCUGAGGUCCUCGACCUCAGCCAUUCCCCAUCCCAUUUAUCUUCCCCUGCUUCUCCUCCUCGUUCUCCAUCUCCUACAAGAGUCUCUUCCUCUUCCUCUUCCUCUUCUUUAUGCUGCCCACCCCUUCAGAAUGACGGCAUCAAUCACUCUAUCCGGGACUGUGACUCGCCCUCUUACUCUGUAGAUGAGGACGGGGAUUCUAUAACGACCGACUGUGAAGAAGAGGAGGAGAGCGAUAGGCAAAGAAGGGAUCAGCUACCUGUGCUGGCAUUGCUGUUGGAAAUCUUCAGGAAAUCUUUAAUGGCUUGCAGGAGUACUGACAGAAGGGAGCUCUGUCCCAUGGAGAUUGGUUGUCCGACUGAUGUGCGCCAUGUGGCGCAUGUUACCUUUGAUAGUUUUCAUGGGUUCUUGGGAUUGCCUGAGGAGUUUGAACCUGAGGUGCCCAGGAGGCCUCCUAGCGCCAGUACUACCGUCUUUGGAGUUUCCACAGAAUCCAUGCAGUUGUCAUUUGACUCUAGAGGCAAUAGCGUGCCAACAAUUCUCUUGCUAAUGCAAAAAAAGUUGUAUGCUCUAGGAGGUCUGCAGGCAGAAGGGGUUUUCAGAAUUGCUGCAGCAAACAGUCAAGAGGAGUAUGUCAGGGACCAACUGAAUUCGGGAGUGGUACCAGAAGGCAUUGAUGUACACUGUUUGGCAGGACUUAUCAAGGCUUGGUUUAGGGAACUCCCAACUGGGGUUCUGGAUUCUCUAUCACCUGAGCAGGUAAUGCAAUGCCAGACAGAAGAGGAUUUUGCUAAAAUUGUGAGGCUUCUACCCCGAACUGAAGCUGCUCUACUGGACUGGGCCAUCAACCUGAUGGCUGAUGUUGUCCAAGAGGAACAUCUGAACAAGAUGGACACACGCAACAUUGCUCUGGUUUUUGCACCAAACAUGACUCAGAUGGCAGAUCCUUUGACUGCCCUGAGGUAUGCAGUCCAAGUGAUGAACCUUCUCAGGACCCUAAUCUUAAAAACAUUGGUAGAAAGAAAGGAUUCUGUGGUGGAGCCUCCUUCUGCUAGCCAUUUAGAGCCUUCUGAUGAGAAUGGGCACCAAAACCCUUCACAAGCCCGCCAGGAAGAUAUUACCCAAGAGAAAGAAGAGCGAGAGCAAAGGUUCAUUGCUGAAGAACCUAUUUCAGACAUUUCCGCUGACUCUAAUCAAAACAACCACCUAAUUGAUGGAGAAGCUGGAAGUUCAUUGACUUCUUCUGAGAAACUAAAUCCUGAUGGGGAAGGUUUUUGUGGGACUCUGACUCAGGUUGACCCUUCCAUUAACAAAAAAGAAGCUGGUGAAGCCAGUUGCGUGAGAGCUGAAGUUCAAGGUAACUCUGAAAAGAGAGAGACUGUUCAAUCAAGUAAUUCAAAUUUUGGGAAAGGUACCAAGUGAAAAAUGUGGUCAGCAAUCUGCAGUUCCAGGAACAGCGUCUGCUGAGAAGACUAGGGGAAUCAGCAAUAUGAGUCACAGAUUCAAGGAUAGAGCGGAUUGAAGCCUGGAGGUGAAGGAAAGCUCAACAGAUGUUGAUCCCCCCCCGGUUGAUUUUAUUACAGGUCUAGUGCAAGUGUUUUUUAACUUUGAACUCAAGGGAAUGUUUGUGAAAUGUUCAUGGAGGAAACUUACAUAUUCUCAU